GACGAACGCUGGCGGCGUGCCUAAUACAUGCAAGUCGAACGAACUCUGGUAUUGAUUGGUGCUUGCAUCAUGAUUUACAUUUGAGUGAGUGGCGAACUGGUGAGUAACACGUGGGAAACCUGCCCAGAAGCGGGGGAUAACACCUGGAAACAGAUGCUAAUACCGCAUAACAACUUGGACCGCAUGGUCCGAGUUUGAAAGAUGGCUUCGGCUAUCACUUUUGGAUGGUCCCGCGGCGUAUUAGCUAGAUGGUGGGGUAACGGCUCACCAUGGCAAUGAUACGUAGCCGACCUGAGAGGGUAAUCGGCCACAUUGGGACUGAGACACGGCCCAAACUCCUACGGGAGGCAGCAGUAGGGAAUCUUCCACAAUGGACGAAAGUCUGAUGGAGCAACGCCGCGUGAGUGAAGAAGGGUUUCGGCUCGUAAAACUCUGUUGUUAAAGAAGAACAUAUCUGAGAGUAACUGUUCAGGUAUUGACGGUAUUUAACCAGAAAGCCACGGCUAACUACGUGCCAGCAGCCGCGGUAAUACGUAGGUGGCAAGCGUUGUCCGGAUUUAUUGGGCGUAAAGCGAGCGCAGGCGGUUUUUUAAGUCUGAUGUGAAAGCCUUCGGCUCAACCGAAGAAGUGCAUCGGAAACUGGGAAACUUGAGUGCAGAAGAGGACAGUGGAACUCCAUGUGUAGCGGUGAAAUGCGUAGAUAUAUGGAAGAACACCAGUGGCGAAGGCGGCUGUCUGGUCUGUAACUGACGCUGAGGCUCGAAAGUAUGGGUAUCAAACAGGAUUAGAUACCCUGGUAGUCCAUACCGUAAACGAUGAAUGCUAAGUGUUGGAGGGUUUCCGCCCUUCAGUGCUGCAGCUAACGCAUUAAGCAUUCCGCCUGGGGAGUACGGCCGCAAGGCUGAAACUCAAAGGAAUUGACGGGGGCCCGCACAAGCGGUGGAGCAUGUGGUUUAAUUCGAAGCUACGCGAAGAACCUUACCAGGUCUUGACAUACUAUGCAAAUCUAAGAGAUUAGACGUUCCCUUCGGGGACAUGGAUACAGGUGGUGCAUGGUUGUCGUCAGCUCGUGUCGUGAGAUGUUGGGUUAAGUCCCGCAACGAGCGCAACCCUUAUUAUCAGUUGCCAGCAUUAAGUUGGGCACUCUGGUGAGACUGCCGGUGACAAACCGGAGGAAGGUGGGGAUGACGUCAAAUCAUCAUGCCCCUUAUGACCUGGGCUACACACGUGCUACAAUGGAUGGUACAACGAGUUGCGAACUCGCGAGAGUAAGCUAAUCUCUUAAAGCCAUUCUCAGUUCGGAUUGUAGGCUGCAACUCGCCUACAUGAAGUCGGAAUCGCUAGUAAUCGCGGAUCAGCAUGCCGCGGUGAAUACGUUCCCGGGCCUUGUACACACCGCCCGUCACACCAUGAGAGUUUGUAACACCCAAAGUCGGUGGGGUAACCUUUUAGGAACCAGCCGCCUAAGGUGGGACAGAUGAUUAGGGUG
rnacentral:rRNA from 1 species